rnacentral:rRNA from 1 species
AGAGCGAACGCUGGCGGCAGGCUUAACACAUGCAAGUCGAGCGGGCGUAGCAAUACGUCAGCGGCAGACGGGUGAGUAACGCGUGGGAACAUACCUUUUGGUUCGGAACAACACAGGGAAACUUGUGCUAAUACCGGAUAAGCCCUUACGGGGAAAGAUUUAUCGCCGAAAGAUUGGCCCGCGUCUGAUUAGCUAGUUGGUGAGGUAACGGCUCACCAAGGCGACGAUCAGUAGCUGGUCUGAGAGGAUGAUCAGCCACAUUGGGACUGAGACACGGCCCAAACUCCUACGGGAGGCAGCAGUGGGGAAUAUUGGACAAUGGGCGCAAGCCUGAUCCAGCCAUGCCGCGUGAGUGAUGAAGGCCCUAGGGUUGUAAAGCUCGUUUUGUGCGGGAAGAUAAUGACGGUACCGCAAGAAUAACGCCCCGGCUAACUUCGCGCCAGCAGCCGC